rnacentral:pre_miRNA from 1 species
AAAAAAUGAUGAUGAUGAUGAUGAUGAUGAUGAUGAUGAUGUGUGUGUACAUACAUAUAUAUCUAUACACACCAACCAUGGUUGGUGUGUAUAGAUAUAUAUGUAUGUACACACACAUCAUCAUCAUCAUCAUCAUCAUCAUCAUCAUCA